rnacentral:rRNA from 1 species
AUGGCAGGCGGCGACAGCUUGGGCUGCUGCGGCGGCCUUGUUCAGGGUUUCUGCGGCCUCGCUCAGGUUUUCCUGGCUCCCCGGGGGCGUCCGUCUGCUGGAAUCCUCGCCAGGAGGCCCGGCGAUCUGUGCUCGAGUUCUUCUCAGGCUGUGAGGACGGGGUCGCCGCGGGAUACGGAGAUCAUGUCCGACAUGGAGUACUCUCCCCAAGUGGCCAGGGAGCUGCUUUUCUCUUAUUAUCAUGAGGAGGACCUGCCCCCCGUGGCCAGGAACUCACCGGCGGCGGUGGGCGAUCUGUGCUCGAGUUCUUGUAUGGUUGGGAGGACGGGGUCGCCGCGGGAUGUGGAGGUCAGCUCCGACAUGGAGGAGUCUCCCCCAGUGGACAGGGAGCUGCGUUUUGAUGAACAGGAGGAGGACCUGUCCCCCGUGGCCAGGAACUCGCCGGCGGCGGCGGGCGAUCUGUGCUCGAGUUCUUCUAUGGUUGGGAGCACGGGGUCGUCUCGGGAUGUGGCGGGCGAUCCGUGCUCGAGUUCUUCUAUGGUUGGGUUGACAUCGUGGGAUAUGGAGAUCAUGGCCGAGAUGGAGUACUCUCUCCCGGUGGCCAGGAAUUCGCCGGCGGUGGCGCCACCGCAGCCGAAGGGCAUGGCCGGUGGCGUUGAAGACGACGACGACGAUGAUGACUGCGUGAUUCUAGACAGUGAUCCUUUCAGCGCGGUCGUAGUGAAUGAUGAGAAGGAUGGCGGCUCCGAUGAGGAGCUGCAGAUAGUUGCGGAGAAAGGCAAGGUGGCAUGCCGUGACUUCCCUCACUCACGCCAUUUAUGUUCCAAUAUGCCCUUCGGCGCUACCUCUCACGAGAAGCAUUGUGACAUGUGCUACUGUUUUGUGUGCGACGCCCCAGCUCCAUGCAGUUAUUGGGGUAAGGGUCUCUCGGUUGGCGAUCAUUGUCAUGCUACGGAUAAGGAAACCAAAUGGAAAAUGCUGAGGGAGGCAUUCAGGUGCAGAAAUCUUCCAGCGUCUCAUCCAGAAACAGAAACUGCUGUGUACGCAACAAUGACGCCACUCGGCCGCCUUUUUCUUAGCAAUCAGAUUUCUCUUCAGGAUGUUGUGACCCAAAACCGAAACACACAUACUUCAGUUAGAGCCUCACUGAGCGUAGCACCGAGUGUCAAUGUGCCAAGAGAGGGAAGUGGUACAAGCAGUGCUCACACUGCUCAAGUUACUCGCCUAGGAGAGCCAACUGUCAGUGCACCAAGGGCACACCCUGUGGCCGGAGCUGGAAGAGGUACAAGCAACGCUCACACUGUUCAAAUUUCUGUGCCAAGAGCAUCCUCUGCAACAGGAGUUGGAAGAAGUGGUACAAGCAAUGCCCACAGUGCUCAAGUUACUCGCCUAGCACAGUCAACGGUCAGUGCACCAAGGCCACAGCCCGCGGCAGGAGCUGGAAGAGGUACAAGCAGCGCUCACACUGCUCAAAUUACUCGCCCAGUAGAGCCAGCUGUCAGUGCAGCAAGAGCAUACUCUGCAGCAAGAACUGGAAGUGGUACUAGCAGUGCUCAGUCUGCUCAAAUUACUCGCCCUGUGGAGCAAACUGUCAGUACACCAAGAGUAUGCCCUGCGGCAGGAGCUUCAAGCAAUGCUCACUCUGCUCAAAUUACUUAUCCCGCCACUGCAGGUGGCUACCUGCCGGAGCCCGAUGCGCCGGAGGGGGCCACGGUGUACGUCGGGAACCUACCCUACCACAUUGACAAUGAGAGACUCAAGCUAAGCUUCCAACGUGCUGGGGUCGUCCUGUUCUCAAAGGUCAUUUACAACCGAGAAACAGGCCAGAGCCGUGGAUUUGGGUUUGUCACCAUGAAUACUGUUCAGGAGGCUGAGAAGGCUGUGAGGAUCUAUCAUGGCUCUGGGAUGUAUGGCAGGCCUCUGACUGUAAAAAUUGCAGCUCCUAGAGGAGGCGCCCGGGUGGACGCCCCUCGCCGUCAAUCUGGUUCCCCACUCAGAAUAUUCGUAUGCAAUUUACCGAGUCAAGUGGACAACCCUCGGCUGGAGGAGCUGUUCAGCAAGCAUGGCAAAGUGGUUGAUGCAAGAGUUGUCUACGAGCGCCGAGAAGGGGCUUCGUGCUCGAGGGGAUUUGGUUUUGUCACAAUGGCGACCGACGAGGAGUCGUACAAGGCGAUACGUGCCCUCAACAAGCAGAUUCUGGAGGGAAAUGCCCUGGGGGUGAAGGUUGCAAGGGAGCGGCCGAACCAAGGCUGCCUCCCUCUUAGCAACCAGAUUCCUCCUCAGAAUGCUGGUAGUCAAAACCAACACACACAUACUUCAGUUAGGGCCUCAGUGAAUGCAGCGCCAACUGCCAGUGCGCCAAGAGCAUACCGUGCAAUGGACCUCGAGCCUGCCUAG